AUAUAAACAAAUCAUGUCACUUGAACCCCGCAUUUUAAAACCUCUGGCUUGAUAUCUUCAAAGAUGGAUUGUCGUCUAAAUAGAAUGAUGGUUUGAGAAUGAUGAGUUGAAUCUAACCUGUUUGAGAUCAAUUGGGUCUAACCUGUUUGCAAAAAUGGAACUCUAAUAAAAAGCAAAAAAAUACCAUGCAAUAUCUAAUAGAUAUGAAACAAAUAUUUUAUCUCAUUAAACUUCAAUAUUGCUAACUUACACUAAAACCAUCCUAACCACAGUAAACAUACAAAAUAACAUCCUCACAUCAAACAAACUAAUCCAAUU
rnacentral:lncRNA from 1 species